ACACUGCUGGUGUAGGGGUAACAUAGGAGCUUCCCAUUUAAUAUGGACAUCGAAGAGGUGUAGAAUGCUCCUGCCAAGGGUUCGAGUCCCUUGCAGUGUA